rnacentral:rRNA from 1 species
UACGGGGGGGGCAAGCGUUGUUCGGAAUUACUGGGCGUAAAGGGCUUGUAGGUGGCCAACUAAGUCAGACGUGAAAUCCCUCGGCUUAACCGGGGAACUGCGUCUGAUACUGGAUGGCUGGAGUGUGGGAGAGGGAUGCGGAAUUCCAGGUGUAGCGGUGAAAUGCGUAGAUAUCAGGAGGAACACCGGUGGCGAAGGCGGAUCUCUGGGCCUUACCUGACGCUCAGGCGCGAAAGCUAGGGGAGCGAACUGG